UCUACAUUCAAAGCUCCCACGCCGGCUUCUGUUAUUCCUUCUGCCGGCUUUUCCCGGGGAUUUUUUUUGAUUUUUCCAUGGAAUUUUUCCCAGAUUUUUUUGGGAUCAUUCCCUGUUUUCCCCAGAUUUGCUGUGCCGGGCCCUGGGCAGCUCCCGGCGCUGUGGGCCGGGCUGGCGCUCCCACGCUGGCUCCUGUUAUUCCUUCUCGGGGUUCGCGCUAGCUGGGGCCGCGCCCGCGCUGCCUGCGAGGACCUGGGGGCGCAGCUGGCCGUGGUCAGCGACGAGGCCGAGCAGCUAUUCCUGGUGCAGAACAGCAACCGCAGCAGCUCCUACUGGCUGGGGGUGACGGACGCAGAGGAGGGGAAAUGGCGCUGGGCCAACGGCGAGGAGCCGCAGAUUGGGUUUUGGGACGUGUGGCUGCAGGAGGAGCAGCAGGAUCUGAAGGAUUGCGGCACCCUGGGGCCCAACGGGCGCUGGGCGAGCGCGGCCUGCGCGGAGCCGCUGCGCUGGGGCUGUGAGAGGCCCGGACACUGCUGAAAAUCCCUUCUUUUCACCCAAAAAUUCCCCCCAAAAUAAAAAAAAAAAAUCGCUAAAAAACCCCUAAAAAUUCCGCAAAAAACCCGGAAAAAAUCCCCACAAAAAUCCCUAUUUUAUUAAAGAAUUUGUGCCGAAAAAUCUGAUUUAUUUUAAGGAUUUGUGUCCAAAAAUCCCGCAAAAAAUGCCGAUUUUAUUCAAGGUUUUGUGCUAAUAAUUCCGGUUUUUAAAAGGAUUUUCAGAAAAAAAUCCGAUUUUUUUAAAGGGUUUGGGGCCAAAAGUCCUGCAAAACAUUCUGCAAAAAUCCCCCCAAAACCCCCAUUUUUUUAGGGAUUGGUGCCAAAAAUCCCACCAAAAAUCCAAUUUUUAAAAGGGUUUUGUGAAAAAAAUUCCAAUUUUGAAGGGGUGAGGGCGGCCUGCGUGAAGCCGCUGCGCUGGGGCUGCGAGAGGCCCAGACACGGCUGAAAUUCCCUUUUUUCCACCCAAAAAUUCCCCCCAAAAUUUAAAAAAAAUCCCUAAAAAACCCCCAAAAAUCCCGCAAAAAACCUGUAAAAAUCCCCACAAAAAUCCCGACUUUAUUAAAGAAUUUUGUGCCAAAAAAUCUGAUUUUCUUUUUUUUAAGGAUUUGUGUCAAAAAUCCCGCAAAAAAUCUGCAAAAAACCCAGAAAAAAUCCUGCAAAAGAACUGGAAAAAAUAAAGAAAAAUCCCGAUUUUAUUAAAGAAUUUGUACCAAAAACUCCGAUUUUUGGAAGUGUUUAGUGCAAAAAAAAAAAAAAAAAAAAAAAUCUGAUUUUUUAAAAAGAAUUUGUGCCAAAAAUUCUAUUUUUUAAAGGGAUUUGUGCCAAAAAUUCCGAAAAAA
rnacentral:lncRNA from 1 species